CUUCUGCCCCCUCAUUCUACAGAUGAAGAAACUGAGUUCUGAAAAUGUGGUCCACAUGCUCAGUCUAUAGUAAAUCUUUGACGCAGACACUAUGUUUCUUGCUAUGCACCUUAUACUUUGAGCAACAGUUUGAGUCACAAAGAGACAAACGCAUUUCUUCAAGAGCACAGUGAAUGAUUCGAAAUGGACUCACUGAGAGAUUCUGAGAUUCUGUAUGCAUGUCAAGGGUCAAACUAUAUCCUUGGAAGCAUCAGCCUGCACGUUUCAUGGUGCCGAUGCUGUUUUCUGUGGGGUGAGAACACUUCUCAUCAUCCAACCUACUGCAGAAAUGGCAAAAGGCAACUGAAUUCUUUUAACAUAAACAGUCCCAAGAAUGUCACCAAAUUAAAGAUGAGGUCAGGUGCAACAAGGGUCAGGGAGUACAAUAAACAUAAAACUUCCUGCUUAUGAGAGGGAAAAAAGCAAGAACAGGAAACCAAUCUGGAAACAUAAUCAUUGAAGCAAUGAUUAAUUUCAGAACACUAAAUCAAAAACUUAUCAUUCAUGACACACCAGUUCAAAAGGAGCUGUGUAAGAUGAAUGGCUUUUAAGGAACAAAGAAUAAACUUCAUUUGCCCAGCCCAAG
rnacentral:lncRNA from 1 species